rnacentral:rRNA from 1 species
AGAGUUUGAUCAUGGCUCAGGAUCAACGCUGGCGGCGUGCCUAGUGCAUGCAAGUCGAACGCAGCACCUUCGGGUGGCUGCGUGGCGAACGGCUGAGGAACACGUGCGUACCUGCCUCCUUGUGGGGAAUACCGGCUGGAAACAGCCGACAAUACCGCGUACGCUCAUCUUCGGGUGAGGAAAGCCUUCGGGCGCGGGGAGUGGGGCGCGCGGCCCAUCAGGUCGAUGGCGGGGUAACGGCCCACCAUGCCGAUGACGGGUCGCUGGUCUGUGAGGACGGCCAGCCAGACUGGGACUGCGACACGGCCCAGACACCUACGGGUGGCAGCAGCAAGGAAUCUUCCCCAAUGGGCGUAAGCCUGAGGGAGCAACGCCGCGUGGAGGAUGACGGCCUUCGGGUUGUAAACUCCUUUUUCGAGGGACGAAACGGACGGUACCUCGAGAAUCAGCCCCGGCUAACUCUGUGCCAGCAGCCGCGGUAAUACAGAGGGGGCAAGCGUUGUCCGGACUUACUNNNNGUACAGCGCGCGCAGGCGGCCGUGUAUGUGCUGGGUGACAGCUUCCCGCUCAACGGGAAGUGGCCCCGGUAGACAGCAGGGCUGGAGGCAGGGAGAGGGAUGUGGAAUGCCCGGUGGAGCGGUGAAAUGCGUAGAGAUCGGGCGGAACACCAGCGGCGAAGGCGGCAUCCUGGUCCUGUUCUGACGCUGAGGCGCGAGAGCGUGGGGAGCAAACUGGAUUAGAUACCCUAGUAGUCC